UACGUAGGGGGCUAGCGUUGUCCGGAAUCAUUGGGCGUAAAGCGCGUGUAGGCGGUUCGGUAAGUCCGCUGUGAAAGUCGGGGGCUCAACCCUCGAAUGCCGGUGGAUACUGUCGGACUAGAGUACGGAAGAGGCGAGUGGAAUUCCUGGUGUAGCGGUGAAAUGCGCAGAUAUCAGGAGGAACACCAAUUGCGAAGGCAGCUCGCUGGGACGUUACUGACGCUGAGACGCGAAAGCUAGGGGAGCGAACAGG
rnacentral:rRNA from 1 species